rnacentral:rRNA from 1 species
GGUUAAGCGACUAAGCGUACACGGUGGAUGCCCUGGCAGUCAGAGGCGAUGAAGGACGUGCUAAUCUGCGAAAAGCGCCGGUAAGGAGAUAUGAACCGUUACAGCCGGCGAUGUCCGAAUGGGGAAACCCAGUGUGAUUC